GCCUGGGUGGCUCAGUCAGUUAAGCAUCUGACUUCUGCUCAGGUCAUGAUUUCACAGUUUGUGGGUUCGAGCCCCACGUCAGGCU
rnacentral:tRNA from 1 species